GGAGUUUGGCAGAGGGGGGUGGAAUUCCACGUGUAGCAGUGAAAUGCGUAGAGAUGUGGAGGAACACCAAUGGCGAAGGCAGCCCCCUGGGUCGAUACUGACGCUCAUGCACGAAAGCGUGGGUAGCAAACAGGAUUAGAUACCCUGGUAGUCCACGCCCUAAACGAUGUCAACUAGGUGUUGGGAGGGUAAAACCUUUUAGUGCCGUAGCUAAC
rnacentral:rRNA from 1 species